UGCAUGAAGUCGGAAUUGCUAGUAAUCGCAGAUCAGCAUGCUGCGGUCGAAUACGUUCCCGGGCCUUGUACACACCGCCCGUCACACCAUGGGAGUCGGUAACACCCGAAGUCGGUAGCCUAACCGUAAGGAGGGCGCCGCCGAAGGUGGGAUUGAUGACUGGGGUGAAGUCGUAACAAGGUAGC
rnacentral:rRNA from 1 species